rnacentral:SRP_RNA from 1 species
GCCAGGCGUUGUGGCGGGUGCCUGUAAUCCCAGCUACUCUGGAGGCUGAGGCAGGAGAAUUGCUUGAACCCAGGAGGUGGAGGCUGCAGUGAGCCGAGAUUGCGCCACCGCACUCCAGCCUGGGCAACAGAGCAAGACUCUGUCUCAA